rnacentral:rRNA from 1 species
GACGAACGCUGGCGGCGUGCUUAACACAUGCAAGUCGAACGGAAAGGCCCUGCUUUUGUGGGGUGCUCGAGUGGCGAACGGGUGAGUAACACGUGAGUAACCUGCCCUUGACUUUGGGGUAACUUCAGGAGACUGGGGCUAAUACCGGAUAGGAGCUCCUGCUGCAUGGUGGGGGUUGGAAAGUUUCGGCGGUUGGGGAUGGACUCGCGGCUUAUCAGCUUGUUGGUGGGGUAGUGGCUUACCAAGGCUUUGACGGGUAGCCGGCCUGAGAGGGUGACCGGCCACAUUGGGACUGAGAUACGGCCCAGACUCCUACGGGAGGCAGCAGUGGGGAAUAUUGCACAAUGGGCGGAAGCCUGAUGCAGCAACGCCGCGUGCGGGAUGACGGCCUUCGGGUUGUAAACCGCUUUCGCCUGUGACGAAGCGUGAGUGACGGUAAUGGGUAAAGAAGCACCGGCUAACUACGUG